ensembl:lncRNA
UCUAAAGAAUCAGUAUAUGUGACUCUAAUAUAUAGCGCAUGUUUCUGUAAUUGGCAUUUCUUUAAAAUGAAUGAGACAAAAAAGCACUUAAUUGCUUGAAGAAUGACCUGUUUAACCUUGUUUCAGAAAGCCUACACUAACGCAGCCUGCAUCCUGGGUCCUAUUCAUCUGGGAAAGAAGAGAGUUGUGAAGCUGUCGAGCACAUAGACAGUGAACACAGAGGGGAACAGGUCAAGGCCACAGCUAGGACAGAGGGAGAAAGAGGAGACUACAUUGGUUUCGAUGGGACUGUAUUCAGCUCUAUAUUAAGGCUGUGGGACUGAGCCGCUUUGGUGGAAAACAUUCAUUCCCGAGGGACCGACGUUACCAUGAUAUCCUACCUGGAACAAUGUGAUCGGCCACGGGGCUGCCUGGCUGCCACUCCGCCCCCGUCCAACCCUAGCCCUGGGAUUUCACCUCGUCCUUGAGAGACCAGCGCAAAUCAACCCAAAUAAAACAUCCCGACCCUGUUCACCUCUCCCGGAGGGUCGUUUUCCUUCGCGACACGUGGACGAAGCCGUACACAGCAUUAGGGACCGAAGAGACGCAGCCUCUAUAGAGGGACUCAGACAGGGUGGGAGGAGAUCCCAGCAGGUAGAAGCAGACACAAGGACAAAACUCUUUCACCACAAGGAGCCUUGACUGACUGGUAUGUCAUACAGUAGGUGCAUCUGCAAAAGGCCUUUGUAAACUUUCCCAAUGCUUUCAUUUUUCAUAUGUCAUUAUUAUAGUAUCCUCAUGGCCCAUUCUUUCCUUUUAUGGCCAAAGAAAUAAUGUAAUGUCUGGUGUCGUCUUUUUGUGCUGAUGUAAGGAUGUACAGGGCCCCAAAUUUAUUUGGGCCCAUAGCAGAUGGCCGUAACCACCAUUGUUAUGUACUGUAUUCACCUUUUAGACCCAGAUCUUUGAUCUAUUGCACUAUUAAAGUAUUACAUUAGUAACUAUUUGUUACCCCUGACUAAUCUUAGUGAGAGUUCCUGAAUAUUUAAUAUUUACGUCUGUGUGUGUGUGUGUGUGUGUGUGUGUGUGUGUGUUCAGUAUAUAUCAUUAUUAUUUACUGUAUUAUUUAAAGGUUUGGGGUCAUUAAGUUUUUUUUUUUUUUUUUUUUUUUUUUUUUUUUAAAGAGAUUAAUACAUUAUUCAGCAAGGGCUGAUUGUAUUGAUCAAAAGACACAGUAAAGCCACUUAUAAUAUUAUAAAAGAUUUUAAAUAAAAUAUUAAAUAGCACAACUGGUUUUAACA